AAGCUUGCUUCUCUGAUUUAGCGGCGGACGGGUGAGUAACACGUGGGCAACCUGCCCUGUAGACUGGGAUAACUUCGGGAAACCGGAGCUAAUACCGGAUAAUUCUUUUAGCCUCAUGGCUUUAAGCUAAAAGGCGCUUCGGCGUCACUACAGGAUGGGCCCGCGGUGCAUUAGCUAGUUGGUGGGGUAACGGCCUACCAAGGCAACGAUGCAUAGCCGACCUGAGAGGGUGAUCGGCCACAUUGGGACUGAGACACGGCCCAAACUCCUACGGGAGGCAGCAGUAGGGAAUCUUCCACAAUGGACGAAAGUCUGAUGGAGCAACGCCGCGUGAGUGAUGAAGGUUUUCGGAUCGUAAAACUCUGUUGUAAGGGAAGAACAAGUGCGUUAGGUAAUGAACGCACCUUGACGGUACCUUAUUAGAAAGCCACGGCUAACUACGUGCCAGCAGCCGCGGUAAUACGUAGGUGGCAAGCGUUGUCCGGAUUUAUUGGGCGUAAAGCGCGCGCAGGUGGUUUCUUAAGUCUGAUGUGAAAGCC
rnacentral:rRNA from 1 species